UGGCGGCAGGCCUAACACAUGCAAGUCGAGCGCUCACUUCGGUGGGAGCGGCGGACGGGUGAGUAACGCGUGGGAAUAUGCCCGGUACUAAGGAAUAGCCCUUGGAAACGAAGAGUAAUACCUUAUACGCCCUUCGGGGGAAAGAUUUAUCGGUAUCGGAUUAGCCCGCGUAAGAUUAGAUAGUUGGUGGGGUAAUGGCCUACCAAGUCUACGAUCUUUAGCUGGUUUUAGAGGAUGAUCAGCAACACUGGGACUGAGACACGGCCCAGACUCCUACGGGAGGCAGCAGUGGGGAAUCUUAGACAAUGGGCGCAAGCCUGAUCUAGCCAUGCCGCGUGAGUGAAGAAGGCCUUAGGGUCGUAAAACUCUUUCGCCAGAGAUGAUAAUGACAGUAUCUGGUAAAGAAACCCCGGCUAACUCCGUGCCAGCAGCCGCGGUAAUACGGAGGGGGUUAGCGUUGUUCGGAAUUACUGGGCGUAAAGCGCACGUAGGCGGACUGGAAAGUUGGGGGUGAAAUCCCGGGGCUCAACCUCGGAACUGCCUCCAAAACUAUCAGUCUAGAGUUCGAGAGAGGUGAGUGGAAUUCCAAGUGUAGAGGUGAAAUUCGUAGAUAUUUGGAGGAACACCAGUGGCGAAGGCGGCUCACUGGCUCGAUACUGACGCUGAGGUGCGAAAGUGUGGGGAGCAAACAGGAUUAGAUACCCUGGUAGUCCACACCGUAAACGAUGAAUGCCAGUCGUCGGCAAGUAUACUUGUCGGUGACACACCUAACGGAUUAAGCAUUCCGCCUGGGGAGUACGGGUCGCAAGAUUAAAACUCAAAGGAAUUGACGGGGGCCCGCA
rnacentral:rRNA from 1 species